ACUGAGAAUAUGGAAGAAGAAGAAGAAGAAGAAGAAGAAGAAGAAGAAGAAGAAGAAGAAGAAGAUGAAGAAGACUCAUAGCCUCUUUGUAUCUCCGCCUCCGUUCUUCGAUUCGCUUCCCUGCAAUUCCUCCGCUCUCCUUUUCUUUCCAAUUUGAGGCGCUUUUCCCGCCAUAUCCAUCUGGAUUGAUCUGAAACUGAGCCCACCGAUUAACUCGGGAGAGGCAUCUACAUAGUUGCUUCGUUCUUUUCCUCUUCUACUGAAUAACUUAAUUGCCCUUAAUUUUUUAA